UUAAAUUCAGUGAGAAGGAAGAGUAAUCAGGUGCAAUGUUAAAGAGAGCUGAUGGUGGUGAGAUAUCAGUACGGUAGCUAAUGAUGAAUGGACCUUUUAGAAGCAAGAUGAAAUCAUUUGAAAGUAGUUAAGCCGUAAGUCGCACGUUAUAGCGAAUAGAGUAUGUUAGUACUUGAUGUUGAGUGGCAUUUUAUGCAAUUUAGGUGGCAACGCGGAUAAUCUCCGUCCUAUGU
rnacentral:ncRNA from 1 species